UACGGGGGGGGUAAGCGUUGUUCGGAAUUACUGGGCGUAAAGGGCUCGUAGGCGGCCAACUAAGUCAUACGUGAAAUCCCUCGGCUUAACCCGGGAACUGCGUCCGAUACUGGAUGGCUUGAGUUCGGGAGAGGGAUGCGGAAUUCCAGGUGUAGCGGUGAAAUGCGUAGAUAUCUGGAGGAACACCGGUGGCGAAGGCGGCAUCCUGGACCGACACUGACGCUGAGGAGCGAAAGCUAGGGGAGCAAACGGG
rnacentral:rRNA from 1 species